UACGGGGGGAGCAAGCGUUGUUCGGAUUUACUGGGCGUAAAGGGCGCGUAGGCGGCCACUGCAAGUCAAUUGUGAAAUCUCCGGGCUUAACUCGGAAAGGUCAACUGAUACUGCGGGGCUAGAGUGCGGAAGGGGCAACUGGAAUUCUCGGUGUAGCGGUGAAAUGCGUAGAUAUCGAGAGGAACACCUGCGGCGAAGGCGGGUUGCUGGGCCGACACUGACGCUGAUGCGCGAAAGCCAGGGGAGCGAACGGG
rnacentral:rRNA from 1 species